GUAGGGUGGCCGAGUAGGUGGCAAGCUGUAGCCUUGCUUACGGGGCUCCGCCCCCCCCA
rnacentral:tRNA from 1 species